UGUGUGCACAGAAACUAAAUGUUGUCUACC
rnacentral:piRNA from 1 species